rnacentral:rRNA from 1 species
AUUGAACGCUGGCGGCAGGCUUAACACAUGCAAGUCGAGCGGAGCGAGGGUGCUUGCACCUUAGCUUAGCGGCGGACGGGUGAGUAAUGCUUAGGAAUCUGCCUGUUAGUGGGGGACAACAUUCCGAAAGGGAUGCUAAUACCGCAUACGCCCUACGGGGGAAAGCAGGGGAUCUUCGGACCUUGCGCUAAUAGAUGAGCCUAAGUCGGAUUAGCUAGUUGGUGGGGUAAAGGCCUACCAAGGCGACGAUCUGUAGCGGGUCUGAGAGGAUGAUCCGCCACACUGGGACUGAGACACGGCCCAGACUCCUACGGGAGGCAGCAGUGGGGAAUAUUGGACAAUGGGCGGAAGCCUGAUCCAGCCAUGCCGCGUGUGUGAAGAAGGCCUUCUGGUUGUAAAGCACUUUAAGCGAGGAGGAGGCUACUAGUAUUAAUACUACUGGAUAGUGGACGUUACUCGCAGAAUAAGCACCGGCUAACUCUGUGCCAGCCGCCGCGGUAAUAC